GCCAGUCGAACGAGAGAAGAGAAGCUUGCUUUUCUGAUCUAGUGGCGGACGGGUGAGUAACACGUGGGCAAUCUGCCUUUCAGAGGGGGAUACCGAUUGGAAACGAUCGUUAAUACCGCAUAAUAUAAUUGAACCGCAUGAUUUGAUUAUCAAAGAUUUAUCGCUGAAAGAUGAGCUCGCGUCUGAUUAGCUAGUUGGUAAGGUAACGGCUUACCAAGGCGACGAGCAGGAGCCGGACUGAGAGGUUGAUC
rnacentral:rRNA from 1 species